rnacentral:rRNA from 1 species
UACGGGGGGAGCAAGCGUUGUUCGGAUUUAUUGGGCGUAAAGAGCUCGUAGGCGGUCUGUCGCGUCUGCUGUGAAAACUCAGGGCUUAACCCUGAGCUUGCAGUGGGUACGGGCAGACUAGAGUGCGGUAGGGGGAGACUGGAAUUCCUGGUGUAGCGGUGAAAUGCGCAGAUAUCAGGAGGAACACCGAUGGCGAAGGCAGGUCUCUGGGCAUUAACUGACGCUGAGGAGCGAAAGCAUGGGGAGCGAACAGG